GAUCAGCAUGCCGCGGUGAAUACGUUCCCGGGCCUUGUACACACCGCCCGUCACACCAUGGGAGCCGGUAAUACCCGAAGUCAGUAGUCCAACCUCGUGAGGACGCUGCCGAAGGUAGGAUUGGCGACUGGGGUGAAGUCGUAACAAGGUAGC
rnacentral:rRNA from 1 species